UACAGACCAAGUUAAUAAGAGCUAUUGGUGGAUGCCUUGGCAUUGACAGGCGAAGAAGGACGCAAAUACCUGCGAAAAGCUCCGGCGAGCUGGUGAUAAGCAAAGACCCGGAGGUAUCCGAAUGGGGAAACCCGGUAGAGUAAUAGACUACCAUUGCAUGCUGAAUACAUAGGUAUGCAAAGCGACACCUGCCGAACUGAAACAUCUUAGUAAGCAGAGGAAAAGAAAUCGAAGAGAUUCCCUGUGUAGCGGCGAGCGAAAGGGGAAUAGCCUAAACCGAGCUGAUAAGGCUCGGGGUUGUAGGAUUGAGGAUAAAGGAUCAGGACUCCUAGUUGAACACAUCUGGAAAGAUGGAUGAUACAGGGUGAUAGUCCCGUAGACGAAAGGAGAGAAAGACCGACCUCAACACCUGAGUAGGACUAGACACGUGAAACCUAGUCUGAAUCUGGGGAGACCACUCUCCAAGGCUAAAUACUAGUCAAUGACCGAUAGUGAACCAGUACUGUGAAGGAAAGGCGAAAAGAACCCUUGUUAAGGGAGUGAAAUAGAACCUGAAACCAGUAGCUUACAAGCGGUCGGAGACCAAUGGCCCGUAAGGGUCAAGGUUGACGGCGUGCCUUUU
rnacentral:rRNA from 1 species